ACCGAGCAAGGCCGCUGAAAAUCGUGGAUAUGCAGCGCGUGUGGUAGCGUUCGACCUUUUUCUACGGUCUAUGGGUUCGACCAUGAACGCGUUGGGAUUAAUUGGGUUGUCCAAAUUAGGGUGGGUAUUGGAUUGGCAAUACAAAGCCCCGUGUUGGGCGCCAACUUCCGCCAAGUUAUUUCUUUUCCACUAACAGCCGAGAGCCAGCUCCACAGAAGGCUCUUAUUGUAAUCAAGCCCUUGAAUCUGUUGUCAGAAAAAAGCUGAUCCAGAGGGGGCUUCUCCGGGGGGGGUGUCGAUGGUGACGGCGCGCAGCUCCUCGUCCUGGGACAGACUGCUUUCUGGCGAGGUGGAAAAGCCGCUGGUCUCCGCUUGAAUCUCCUGGGCUUUCCGAGCGCAAAUGUCCAGAAAAGGCUGGGGGUCGUGGUCGCCAGAGUCAGAGCUGUCCCGCGCUGACCUGUCCUGGUACACCAUGUCUGGCUCACUGAUGGAAAAGGACACCUGUCUCACCUCUGGCUACAAUCUCCCCCUGGGCCAGGUGGUGCACUACAUCGAAUGCCCAGAAGACAACAAGGUCCAGCAGCACCACCAGGCAGCCCAUGGCAACGUGCCUGAGAACAGACACUGAGCUGACGGCCGCUCCCUGUCUCUCUCUGGCCGUCAGGGUCAGAGAACCUGGGGACAGACGAAGGCACGAGCAGGGAUCAAACCUCUGGGAGGCGCGCUGCACUGUAGGGUUGAGUCACAGCACCUCCCUUUAAAAUAACCCUUUUCCUGCUUCAUUUCCUCUACCUCUCUCCAUUACCUGCCCUCCCUCCUCUCUUCUAUUCCAGCACUUCCUUCCUGCUUUUCCUCGCCUCCACUAUCAGCACUUCCCCGCCACCGCCCAUCACACUUUGUUCAUUCUUUCUGAGAUCAGCGUCAUUCUCACUCCCCCCCCUCCCCUCUUUCAUGCUCACCUCUCCUCAUUCCACUCAGCCCUUUUCCGCCCCCCCCCCCCCCAUCUCGACUCACAAGGGCUGAUGUAGGUGACAGCCUCUUUGUCAGUGAGCGGCAGCAGAGUUGGUUUCCCUUGUCUGGAUCUCAUAAGGUCUAUCUGCACAAACUGUUCGGUGAUGUAUAUGUUGUCAAAGUCGUCCUGGUGGAGGAACCUGCUUUUGUACAGGGCAGCCCUUCCCACGGGCACAAAAAAAUCAACAUGGGUGAUAUAAGCACAUGAUUGUAUAUUUCCGUGCAAUUCUCUUUUAUAUGCAAGAGAGGAGAUAAUAAGAUAACAAGACCAUUUUUGAGCUCAGUUAUAUUAGACUCACUGCAGGUACAUAAGCAGUAGAAGGAACAAGCCUACAUAUCCCAGCAGUCCCAUUAACUCCUGGAUGCGAUUAAGGUCCUCGGAGACCUCUCCCAUGAUUCCCUGGGCCACCUGUUGUAGAGACUGGCUGCUGUCGAGUUGUGUGUCGAAGUGUAUGGAGGCUGAGAUGUUGAACUCAAACUCCUGCUUCAUCUGCUCAAAGGCAGCAAUAGUUGCUUAGAGAAAAUAGUAUGACAUCAGAAACUGACCAACUAUAAACUCACACAUUAUUCAACAUUCAGUGCAGGCCAGUUUUACAAUACCUCUCCUUACAAUGAAUAACAAUGAGGUUUACAUGGUGAUCUCAGGUUAAGAAGAUCAAUAAUGAAAUGUAAAAAAAUGUAAUUUAAGUAAAAAAAUGAAAGGCCAAAAUCAAAAACCAAAAUCAAUGAUCUUUUUUUUCUUGUAUACACUGCCCUUUUUACCUUGUAUGUUUGUUUUAGUAAACUAUAACGAUUGAACAGUUGUCUUGUUGAUGUAAAUUGGAGUAUGACAGAAAACAUAUGCUUAUAAUUUUUUCUCUGAUUGUCUCAAAGCAUGAUAUACUACCAUUAGGGAGUGCACAUGGCAUUUAGGGACGUCUUUAUCUUUAAUGGUUUGGGAUGCUACUUACAGGCAGCCACUCUGGUCUUCAUAUGACUUGCUAUAUAUUCAGGUAUUAUACAGAACAUCUGUAGCACUGAAGAGAGAGACAGAGAGAGAGAGAGAGAGAGAGAGAGAGAGUAUGCUAGAAUUGUACAGCAGAUGAAAUACAAUAGGAAACAUUCAUGUACUAAAGUCUGUUGUGUCUUCUGUGACCUAUGUUAUUCUAUUACUUGCUUGGGUUUGUCUGCAGACCCAUAUGCUAUCUGUCCCUAAGGGAAAUACAGUUCAAACACUUU